rnacentral:lncRNA from 1 species
GGACAUUUUCCAAAAUGCUUGCAUGCCAGCCUUCAAUAUGCUUCUACUUCAUGCUCUGCUUUGUUCCUUUUCCAAAUUUAAAUCUUAAUCAUAUGUAUAUACAAUUUUAUGUUUUAUCUUGAAAAUUUUGAUCGUUUUACCCUUAAUUUUUGUUAGCUUUUUGGCUCUAUUCUCCGGCAGAGCAGAGCAUGCAAUACAAAAAGCAGAGACCAUACUUUCUAC